rnacentral:misc_RNA from 1 species
UCAAGGUUUUAACUGUUCAAGAUUUUCAUUAUGAUCAGUUGAGGGAUUUUUUAAGAGAGAUUGCAAUAAUGAAACGUGUCCGUCAUCCAAAUGUAGUUCUUUUCAUGGGUGCUGUUACUAAGCCUCCUCAUCUAUCAAUUGUAACAGAGUACCUGCCUAGGGGUAGUCUAUACCGCCUCAUACACAGGCCAGCUGCUGGGGAAAUGCUGGAUCAGAGGCG